rnacentral:rRNA from 1 species
ACCGCCCGUCGCUCCUACCGAUUGAACGUGCUGGUGAAGCGUUAGGACUGGAACUUUGGGCCGGUUUCCUGCCCAUCGUUUCGGGAAUUUCGUUGAACCCUCCCGUUUAGGAACGAGAAGUCGUAACAACGUCUCCGUAUGUGAACCUGCGGAGGGAUCAUUG